GGCUUAACACAUGCAAGUCGAGGGGCAGCAUGGUCUUAGCUUGCUAAGGCCGAUGGCGACCGGCGCACGGGUGAGUAACACGUAUCCAACCUGCCGUCUACUCUUGGACAGCCUUCUGAAAGGAAGAUUAAUACAAGAUGGCAUCAUGAGUCCGCAUGUUCACAUGAUUAAAGGUAUUCCGGUAGACGAUGGGGAUGCGUUCCAUUAGAUAGUAGGCGGGGUAACGGCCCACCUAGUCUUCGAUGGAUAGGGGUUCUGAGAGGAAGGUCCCCCACAUUGGAACUGAGACACGGUCCAAACUCCUACGGGAGGCAGCAGUGAGGAAUAUUGGUCAAUGGGCGAGAGCCUGAACCAGCCAAGUAGCGUGAAGGAUGACUGCCCUAUGGGUUGUAAACUUCUUUUAUAAAGGAAUAAAGUCGGGUAUGCAUACCCGUUUGCAUGUACUUUAUGAAUAAGGAUCGGCUAACUCCGUGCCAGCAGCCGCGGUAAUACGGAGGAUCCGAGCGUUAUCCGGAUUUAUUGGGUUUAAAGGGAGCGUAGAUGGAUGUUUAAGUCAGUUGUGAAAGUUUGCGGCUCAACCGUAAAAUUGCAGUUGAUACUGGAUAUCUUGAGUGCAGUUGAGGCAGGCGGAAUUCGUGGUGUAGCGGUGAAAUGCUUAGAUAUCACGAAGAACUCCGAUUGCGAAGGCAGCCUGCUAAGCUGCAACUGACAUUGAGGCUCGAAAGUGUGGGUAUCAAACAGGAUUAGAUACCCCUGGUAGUCCACACGGUAAACGAUGAAUACUCGCUGUUUGCGAUAUACAGCAAGCGGCCAAGCGAAAGCGUUAAGUAUUCCACCUGGGGAGUACGCCGGCAACGGUGAAACUCAAAGGAAUUGACGGGGGCCCGCACAAGCGGAGGAACAUGUGGUUUAAUUCGAUGAUACGCGAGGAACCUUACCCGGGCUUAAAUUGCAGAUGAAUUACGGUGAAAGCCGUAAGCCGCAAGGCAUCUGUGAAGGUGCUGCAUGGUUGUCGUCAGCUCGUGCCGUGAGGUGUCGGCUUAAGUGCCAUAACGAGCGCAACCCUUGUUGUCAGUUACUAACAGGUUCCGCUGAGGACUCUGACAAGACUGCCAUCGUAAGAUGUGAGGAAGGUGGGGAUGACGUCAAAUCAGCACGGCCCUUACGUCCGGGGCUACACACGUGUUACAAUGGGGGGUACAGAGGGCCGCUACCACGCGAGUGGAUGCCAAUCCCCAAAACCUCUCUCAGUUCGGACUGGAGUCUGCAACCCGACUCCACGAAGCUGGAUUCGCUAGUAAUCGCGCAUCAGCCACGGCGCGGUGAAUACGUUCCCGGGCCUUGUACACACCGCCCGUCAAGCUAUGGGAGCCGGGGGUACCUGAAGUGCGUAACCGCGAGGAGCGCCCUAGGGUAAAACUGGUGACUGGGGCUAAGUCAU
rnacentral:rRNA from 1 species